rnacentral:rRNA from 1 species
GACAGAGGAUGCAAGCGUUAUCCGGAAUGAUUGGGCGUAAAGCGUCUGUAGGUGGCUUUUAAGUCCGCCGUCAAAUCCCAGGCUCAACCCUGGACAGGCGGUGGAAACUACCAAGCUGGAGUACGGUAGGGGCAGAGGGAAUUUCCGGUGGAGCGGUGAAUGCGUAGAGAUACGGAAAGAACACCAACGGCGAAAGCACCU